rnacentral:rRNA from 1 species
UACGUAGGGUCCGAGCGUUGUCCGGAAUUAUUGGGCGUAAAGAGCUCGUAGGCGGUCUGUUGCGUCGGUUGUGAAAACCUGGGGCUCAACUCCAGGCCUGCAAUCGAUACGGGCAGACUAGAGUUCGGUAGGGGAGACUGGAAUUCCUGGUGUAGCGGUGAAAUGCGCAGAUAUCAGGAGGAACACCGGAGUGGCGAAGGCAGGUCUCUGGGCCAACUGAACUGACGCUGAGGAAGCGAAAGCAUGGGGAGCGAACAGGAUUAGAACCUACCGUAGUCAGAUCCAAGAUCCAGUCUCUC